rnacentral:lncRNA from 1 species
CCCAGGUCUCCUUAAUCUGAGUGCUUUCAGUGCCUAUGAGACCAGCAGAAAUUUAACUUGUAUAGAUUGUACCUUUUCUCUCCAUAGUGGCUUGCAUGUUGCCUCUCCUAUCAGCCUGUGGUUUCCAAGAGAGGCGGGGUUUCUUUUCUUUUUCCUUCUUCCUUCUUUCCCUACUUCUUUCCCUCCCUCCUUCCUUCCUUCCUUCUUUCCCUCCCUCCCUCCCUCCCUCCCUCCUUCCUUCCUUCCCUCCCUUCCUCUUUCUUUCUUUCUUUCUUUCUUUCUUUCUUUCUUUCUUUCUUUCUUUCUUUCUUUCUUUCUUUCUUUCUUUCUUUCUUUCUUUCUUUCUUUCUCUCUCUCCUUUCUUUCUUUCUUUCUUUCUUUCUUUCUUUCUUUCUUUCUUUCUUUCUUUCUUUCUUUCUUUCUUUCUUUCUUUCUUUCUUUCUUUCUUUCUUUCUUUCUUUCUUUCUUUCUUUCUUUCUUUCUUUCUUUCUUUCUUUCUUUCUUUCUUUUUCUUUCUUGUUUCUUUGUUUGUUUCUUUGUUUCUUUGUUUCUUUCUCUCCCUCCUUCCUUUCCUUCCUUCCUUUCUUUCCUUCCUUCCUCCCUCCCUCCCUUCCUCCCUUCCUUCCUUCCUUCCUUCCUUCCUUCCUUCCUUCCUUCCUUCCUUCCUUCCUUCCUUCCUUCCUUCCUUCCUUCCUUCCUUCCUUCCUUCCUUCCUUCCUUCCUUCCUUCCUUCCUUCUUUCCUCCCUCCCUUCCUCCCUUCCUCCCUUCCCAGUGACUAUGUUGAGAGUAUAAAAUGAGACAAUACUUGUACAUCACUUAUUCUCAUGUCUGGAGCACAGUGAGUACCAGAGAGAUGAUGAUGAUGAUGAUGAUGAUGAUGAUGAUGAUGAUGAUAUCUCCUAACUUGCCUUCAAUUCUCUUUCCCUGAUACCAUGUUGCCUGAGGCCACACAGGUAGUUAGUAGGACAGUGGAAAGAGGUUCCCCCACAUUGAGUAGGAAAGUCUCUGGUCUUGAACUGCUUGGGGGGUGGGGGAGGGAAAGGUAUAGAAUUGUGAGUAUUGAUUCAGAGCCAGAAGGAAAAGCAGAGACUGUCAAAUCCAAUCCUCUUAUUUUAUAGAUGAUGAAACUCAGAUUCAGAGGUUGCAAUGAAGGGUCACACAGCUAGUAAGUAGCUGAGGAAGGAUUGAGGGGCUGGGGUCUUCCUGAAUUCAAGCCCAGUCCUCUCUUCUUAGUCUCCUGGAUGUUAUUAGAGGCUCUCCUGAUUAGAAGUACUAAGCUCUAAUUAGGCCUCCAUUAACUUAGCGUCUGAAGGCCACAUCUAGGAUAGCUUUCUCCCUCCUAGAGAUUAUUGAAGGAUUGUGGUUUAGUUGUUUUCAGUCACGUCUGAUACUUCAUCAUCUCAUUUGGGGUUUUCUUGGCAAAUAUUGGAGUGGUUUGCCAUUUCCUUCUCCAGCUCAUUUUUACUGAUGAGAAACUGAGGCAAACUGAGUGAUUUGCGUAGGGUCCCGUAUCUUGUAAGUGUCUAAGGUCAAAUUUGAACUCAGAUCUUCAUAACUCCAGAACCAGUGCUCUAUCUGCUGUGAUACCUAGCUGUCCAUUUGUGUAGUACUUAAGAUCGUAGACUGAAGACCAGAGAGCCUUCGAAGGACAACCUUCUCAUUGUACAGAUGAGGAAGCUGGGGCCCAGAUGGGAGAAGGAAUAUCCACAAGGCCUUUAUUUCCUAAUCCAUCACUAUUUCCAGUGUAAUUGCUGCUGAGGAUUAUGGGAAUAUCACUUCCACUAGAGGGACCAGUGCCUGGUGCCCCAUCAGUGAGAAGUCUUCCUUAAAGGAAUAUUCCUUGGGGGUCUGGGGAAUCAUCCCCCUCCCCCCCCCCAUUUUGUACUAGCCAUAGCUUGCAUUCACAUUUCCCAACCAGCUAUUUCGUGGAAGGUCUUUUCCCCACUGGGUGCAUUUAAAAAUAAAUUUGGUUCCCCCCCAAUUACA